rnacentral:rRNA from 1 species
UGCCAGUCGAACGGAAACAUGUCUAGCUUGCUAGAUGAUGUCGAGUGGCGGACGGGUGAGUAAUGCUUGGGAACUUGCCUUUGCGAGGGGGAUAACAGUUGGAAACGACUGCUAAUACCGCAUAAUGUCUACGGACCAAACNGGGCUUCGGCUCUGGCGCAAAGAGAGGCCCAAGUGAGAUUAGCUAGUUGGUGAGGUAAAGGCUCACCAAGGCAACGAUCUCUAGCUGUUCUGAGAGGAAGAUCAGCCACACUGGGACUGAGACACGGCCCAGACUCCUACGGGAGGCAGCAGUGGGGAAUAUUGCACAAUGGGGGAAACCCUGAUGCAGCCAUGCCGCGUGUGUGAAGAAGGCCUUCGGGUUGUAAAGCACUUUCAGUUGUGAGGAAAAGUUAGUAGUUAAUACCUGCUAGCCGUGACGUUAACAACAGAAGAAGCACCGGCUAACUCCGUGCCAGCAGCCGCGGUAAUACGGAGGGUGCGAGCGUUAAUCGGAAUUACUGGGCGUAAAGCGCACGCAGGCGGUUUGUUAAGCUAGAUGUGAAAGCCCCGGGCUCAACCUGGGACGGUCAUUUAGAACUGGCAGACUAGAGUCUUGGAGAGGGGAGUGGAAUUCCAGGUGUAGCGGUGAAAUGCGUAGAUAUCUGGAGGAACAUCAGUGGCGAAGGCGACUCCCUGGCCAAAGACUGACGCUCAUGUGCGAAAGUGUGGGUAGCGAACAGGAUUAGAUACCCUGGUAGUCCACACCGUAAACGCUGUCUACUAGCUGUUUGUGACUUUAAGUCGUGAGUAGCGAAGCUAACGCGAUAAGUAGACCGCCUGGGGAGUACGGCCGCAAGGUUAAAACUCAAAUGAAUUGACGGGGGCCCGCACAAGCGGUGGAGCAUGUGGUUUAAUUCGAUGCAACGCGAAGAACCUUACCUACACUUGACAUGUUGAGAAGUUACCAGAGAUGGUUUCGUGCCUUCGGGAACUCAA